GUCUUUUUGAUUAUAAUUUAAAGUCUAACCUGCCCAAUGAGGAUUUAAAUGGCCGCGGUAAUUUGACCGUGCAAAGGUAGCAUAAUCAUUAGUUUUUUAAUUGAAAGCUGGUAUGAAUGGUUGGACGAGAAAAUGGCUGUCUCAAUUUAAUUUUUAAUAGAAUUUUAUUUAUAAGUAAAAAAGCUUAUAUAUAUUUAAAAGACGAGAAGACCCUAUAGAAUUUUAUAUUUGUAUGUAUUUGUGUUUUUUAGAAGUUUAGUAUAUUUAUAUAUACAAAUAUUUUGUUGGGGCGAUGGGGAAAUUUAAUAAACUUUCUUUUGUAUUAAAUCAUUAAUGAAUGAAUUAUUGAUCCGUUAUUAACGAUUAUAAGAAUAAAUUACCUUAGGGAUAACAGCGUAAUUUUUUUUUAGAGUUCUUAUCGAAAAAAGAGUUUGCGACCUCGAUGUUGGAUUAAAAUUAACUUAUGGUGUAGGGGCUAUAAAGUUGGGUCUGUUCGACCUUUAAAAUUUUACAUGAUCUGAGU
rnacentral:rRNA from 2 species